GGUCACAUUUGCAGGUUUGGGAUUGGCAUGACUUCGGGGGCGGGGGGGAGGCUGUAGCACAUUUCUUGAUAGGUUUUCUUCCCUGAUGAGGGCAGUGAAAGGCCAUACAGCCGGGUGGUUAAAAAUAAGCUCUGGAGUCAGGCUUUCUGGCCCUACAACUCUCUGACAGUGGGCCCAAAGCAAGGUUCUAACCUCUGCAAGGCGACGCAGCCUCAUCUGGGAAUGAUAAUGGCAAUUACCCUGAAACCCAGUGAGGAGUAAAUGAAUUCAGGUGCGCUAGAUGCACUGUAAACGCGGCCUGUUUCUGUUCUCAGGAUAUGGGCUCUCUCUGGCUGGCCUCUCAAACAACGCUCCAUGCUUCUAAGAUCUACCCAACACAGUCUUGAAAUGUUGACUCCAAUGAAGUCAAAGGGGAUCAAGUUAUUGAAA